CCUACGGGAGGCAGCAGUGAGGAAUAUUGGUCAAUGGACGAGAGUCUGAACCAGCCAAGUAGCGUGAAGGAUGACUGCCCUAUGGGUUGUAAACUUCUUUUAUAUGGGAAUAAAAUGUUCCACGUGUGGGAUUUUGUAUGUACCAUAUACAUAAAGAUCGGCUAACUCCGUGCAAGCAGCCGCGGUAAUACGGAGGAUCCGAGCGUUAUCCGGAUUUAUUGGGUGUAAAGGGUGCGCAGGCGGAUGUUUAAGUCAGCGGUCAAAUAGUGGGGCUCAACCCCAUCCAGCCGUUGAAACUGGGGAUCUAGAGUGUGCGAGAGGUAUGCGGAAUGCGUGGGGUAGAGGUGAAAUGCAUAGAUAUCACGCAGAACCGCGAUUGCGAAGGCAGCAUACCGGCGCCCAACUGACGCUGAAGCACGAAAGCGUGGGUAUCGAACAGGAUUAGAUACCCCGGUAGUC
rnacentral:rRNA from 1 species